rnacentral:lncRNA from 1 species
AAUUUAAAAACCAUUUUAAAUUAUUAAAUUAAAAAAAACAAAAAAAAUUAAAAUACAUGGGCCAAUAGAUGACUUAGAUCACAAAUCCUUAAAAGGUACCUUCAAUUAUAGUCGUUUGAUUAAGAUCAAAUUAUAGAUAUUUUAAUUUGAUAUUUAAAAUUGUAAAUAAAAAUUAAAAUAUGUACUUUAAGAUUAGAUCUUGGAAUUUUUUACCCAAAUACCUUUGUUUUUCAAAAAAAAUAAUCCAAAAUAACCUUGUUUUAAAAAAAAUCCAUUCUACCCCACUUCGAAGAGGAGGCGCCAAAUGAAUUGGCGCCUGCUCUUAAACUUAGAGAGGAGGCGCCAAUUGGAUUGGCUAGUGCUCCUUGUAUUGUCAAUCCAAUUGACGCAUAUGUGUUAAGAUUUAAAGAAGGCGCCAAUUGUUCUGGCACCUGUGUGUGUUUUAUAAUUUUUUUACUAACAUUGUACAUGAUAGAUAAAGUCGAAAUCGGACCAAUUCAUAUUAAUAUUAAUAUCCGUUUACACAAAAAAGACUAAUGUCGAUGACCAGGAUCACCUAACCGACCUCCGGUCCCACAUCCCCUAGCUACCCG